GAUGAAGAACGCAGCGAAAUGCGAUAAGUAGUGUGAAUUGCAGAAUUCAGUGAAUCAUCGAAUCUUUGAACGCACAUUGCGCCCUUUGGUAUUCCAAAGGGCAUGCCUGUUCAAGCGUCAUUUGUACCCUCAAGCUUUGCUUGGUGUUGGGCGUCUUGUCUCUAGCUUUGCUGGAGACUCGCCUUAAAGUAAUUGGCAGCCGGCCUACUGGUUUCGGAGCGCAGCACAAGUCGCACUCUCUAUCAGCAAAGGUCUAGCAUCCAUUAAGCCUUUUUUUCAACUUUUGACCUCGGAUCAGGUAGGGAUACCCGCUGAACUUAAGCAUAUCAAUAAGCGGAGGA
rnacentral:misc_RNA from 1 species